rnacentral:tRNA from 1 species
UCCUUGGCAGUCCACUGGGUAGGACUCUGCACUUUCACUGCUGUGGGCCCGGAUUCAAUCCCUGGUUGAGGAA